rnacentral:lncRNA from 1 species
CCCUUAUUUCCCCUUCAGCUUUUAACUUUUAAAAAAAUAUUUGUGCGGACUAAUGGUUUCUUUAUGUAACUUCUGUUCACUGCCAUAGUUUAUGAUAGAAAUUCUGUUAAAAGCUUUCAAUUACUUACUGAAAAUAACAAAUAAGGAAAUUGAACAAUAUCUGUUUGGUUUGAACUUUAUGAUGUAAUUAUAGCCAUACUAAUUUAUUAACCCUCAUCCAGGGGCAGUUCUAUUUCCCUCACACUCUCAAAUCCCAACUUUUCCUUCCACCCCCAGCUUCCCAGAAGAAAACAUUAGACAGAUAUAGUGACAUUUGAAGUAAUUAUAAGACAUUUAUCCAUUGUGAUGGUUAUAUUUGGUACUUAAUUACUGAAUAUUCUUCUGAAUAUUCUAAAUAUUAAAAUCUUCUGUAUCUUACUGGAUAUAAGAAGUCUUAGAUUCCUAUUUGAAUCAGAGUGCCUUUAGACAUAUUUCUUUUCAGAGUUCUAGUAUUCUUUACAAAGUCAUGACAGUUUACCUUUAACCGUUAUCAAGCAGGAAUCUAUAAACACCCACAAAUGUGUUUUCUGAAAAAAAAAAAAAGGCUUUUGCAUAUAGAAAUGUGGGUUGCCAUAGUGUUUGAUCGUCCAGAGCAAUGCUUUGCAAACUGUCUUCCUUGCAUGCUCUUCACCCGAGGCUUUGGUAGAGGUGCUUCAUGAGUUCUGCAAAUUUUUUUCCCUGAUUCUGUUUAAAAAGAGAGCUCUACUUAUUUUAAAAGGUUACAAAAAUAGCACCCAUGUUCCCAUCCAGAUUAGUAAUUUAUAAGACCAGAUAAAUUCAUUUUUGUGUACACCUCAGAAUGUAGCUUCUCUUAGCAUCUUUAAUGAUAAAGUAUCCUAAGAUUGCAAGAGAUGUUAUUUUAUUUAUUUAUUUUUUGUGGCGCCCUUGGCAUGUAGAAGUUCCCAGGCCAGGGAUCAAACCGGUACCACAGCAGUGACAGUGCUGAAUCCUUAACUCAAAUGUGCCGCAAGAGAACUCCAAGAGAUGCUAUUUUAAAAUAAAUGCUUACCAUAUAUAGAUACUUAUUUGUGAAAAUGUGGGUUUUCUUCAUAUAAUACAACUAAAACAAAAUGGGUAAAUCAUCUAUAUGCUUUUUUUUUGUCUUUUUGCUAUUUCUUGGGCCGAUCCCGUGGCAUAUGGAGGUUCCCAGACUAGGGGUCGAAUCGGAGCUAUAGCCACCGGCCUAUGCCAGAGCCACAGCAACGCUGAAUCCGAGCAGUGUCUGCAAUCUACACCACAGCUCACGGCAACACCGGAUCGUCAACCCACUGAGCAAGGGCAGGGACCGAACCCGCAACCUCAUGGUUCCCAGUCGGAUUUGUUAACCACUGAGCCACGACGGGAACUCCUAUGCUUUUUUUUGAUAGGACUGUAGCUCUUUUAUAAAGUGCCUGAUGUUAGAUGUUUCUGUUUAUCCAAAUAGUCAUUGUUCUUCUUGAUUGACUUAUAAAAUCAGUUCCCACUAAUGGAAUACACUUAAAUAUACUUGAAAAAAUGGUUAGUCUCUGCAGAAAAUUUUUAAACUACCAAUCUUAGAGGCAAUAUCCAUUUCAAUAUGUAAAUUUAGGAGACCCAUUAUUUAAAUUAUGUGUGUCUGCAUGAAUUUUAAAUGUAUUUCCUUUCAUGGAACAUUGAAUCAGGACUUUAAAAUUAGCUUUCCUUGAUCCUAAUAAAAUAAGAGAAAGGGCCGAAAUUAGGAAUUUGUGCUGCACUUAAGUAAAAACAAAAGUACUUUUAGUGGUCUGGAUUGAAGAGUCUUGAAAAGCAGCAGUCACCCUUAACUGUAAAUCUUUGUAGCUGUAUAGAUGGUGGCGAAAUGGUCAGGGAGCUAUGAGCUGGGCAGCAAUCUCAUGGCAUUACUGUAUUUCAGAGCUGACACUGGAAUUCGUAUUGUCUAUAAGAUCAGGGUAAAGUUUAGCCAGAAGUUUUAUGGCCCUUUGUAAUCUGUUUCCAGGUUCUUCUUGUUGCCUCUACCACAUUCUAC